GAGAAAGGCUGAAUGGUUAAUAUGCCCAUUUUGUCAAAUGGGUAUAUUUCUUUUUG
rnacentral:tRNA from 1 species